rnacentral:rRNA from 1 species
AUUGAACGCUGGCGGCAGGCCUAACACAUGCAAGUCGAGCGGAGCGGCGGACGGGCGAGUAAUUCCUAGGUAUCGGCCUGGCCGAUGGGGAUAACGUCCGGCAACGGGCGCUAACACCGCACACUAUCAGAUGAGCCUAGGUCUGAUUAGCUAGUUGGUGGGGUAAAGGCCUACCAAGGCGACGAACCGUAACUGGUCUGAGAGGAUGAUCAGUCACACUGGAACUGAGACACGGUCCAGACUCCUACGGGAGGCAGCAGUGGGGAAUAUUGGACAAUGGGCGAAAGCCUGAUGCAGCCAUGCCGCGUGUGUGAAGAAGGUCUUCGGAUUGUAAAGCACUUUAAGUUGGGAGGCGUUACCGACAGAAUAAGCACCGGCUAACUCCGUGCCAGCAGCCGCGGUAAUAC